rnacentral:rRNA from 1 species
GCAAGUCGAACGAGAAUCUGCUGAAGGAGGAUUCGUCCAACGGAUGUAGAGGAAAGUGGCGGACGGGUGAGUAACGCGUGAGGAACCUGCCUUGAAGAGGGGGACAACAGUUGGAAACGACUGCUAAUACCGCAUGAAGCAUAGGGGUCGCAUGAUCUUUAUGCCAAAGAUUUAUCGCUUCAAGAUGGCCUCGCGUCUGAUUAGCUAGUUGGCGGGGUAACGGCCCACCAAGGCGACGAUCAGUAGCCGGACUGAGAGGUUGAACGGCCACAUUGGGACUGAGAUACGGCCCAGACUCCUACGGGAGGCAGCAGUGGGGAAUAUUGGGCAAUGGGCGCAAGCCUGACCCAGCAACGCCGCGUGAAGGAAGAAGGCUUUCGGGUUGUAAACUUCUUUUAAGAGGGAAGAGCAGAAGACGGUACCUCUAGAAUAAGCCACGGCUAACUACGUGCCAGCAGCCGCGGUAAUACGUAGGUGGCAAGCGUUGUCCGGAUUUACUGGGUGUAAAGGGCGUGCAGCCGGGUCUGCAAGUCAGAUGUGAAAUCCAUGGGCUCAACCCAUGAACUGCAUUUGAAACUGUAGAUCUUGAGUGUCGGAGGGGCAAUCGGAAUUCCUAGUGUAGCGGUGAAAUGCGUAGAUAUUAGGAGGAACACCAGUGGCGAAGGCGGAUUGCUGGACGAUAACUGACGGUGAGGCGCGAAAGUGUGGGGAGCAAACAGGAUUAGAUACCCUGGUAGUCCACACUGUAAACGAUGAAUACUAGGUGUGCGGGGACUGACCCCCUGCGUGCCGCAGUAAACACAAUAAGUAUUCCACCUGGGGAGUACGAUCGCAAGGUUGAAACUCAAAGGAAUUGACGGGGGCCCGCACAAGCGGUGGAUUAUGUGGUUUAAUUCGAAGCAACGCGAAGAACCUUACCAGGGUUUGACAUCCUGCUAACGAAGUAGAGAUACAUUAGGUGCCCUUCGGGGAAAGCAGAGACAGGUGGUGCAUGGUUGUCGUCAGCUCGUGUCGUGAGAUGUUGGGUUAA